UACGUAGGUGGCAAGCGUUGUCCGGAUUUACUGGGCGUAAAGAGCGCGCAGGCGGUCGUUCAAGUCGCGUGUGAAAGCCCCCGGCUCAACUGGGGAGGGUCACGCGAUACUGAUCGACUCGAAGGCAGGAGAGGGUAGUGGAAUUCCCGGUGUAGUGGUGAAAUGCGUAGAUAUCGGGAGGAACACCAGUGGCGAAGGCGGCGACCUGGGGCAAUACUGACGCUGAGGUGCGAAAGCGUGGGGAGCAAACAGG
rnacentral:rRNA from 1 species